ACUGCAAGCUUAAUCAAUGGAUUCCUGCUCGGCAAUCACGAAGUUGGAACUGUGGCAGCAAACAGCAAAAACGUGAAUGCGCAACUAUUGAUUUUGUAAUAAAAAUGCGCGCGCAGCGCUCUGAUUUUUGCACAAAAACCGGAGAGCAAGCAGCAGCAGCACAUGAGCUAAGAGCUGAUGAUGUGGUGGACGACAAUGUGGCGGCAUGUUGUCGGCGGUCAGGAUGGAGCCGAGAGGCCGAUGCCGAGAGCUCACACACGACAACCGAGAACGAGUAGCUGCUGCUUGGCUGAGUGCUGAGUGCAGCAAUUCACAUAUUCCACACUCGCAGUGCGAAAACUGUGUGCGAAGCCAGAGCAAAGGCCAGCGCCAGUUGCCAGUUGCCAGGAGAAGCCUUGGGCUCUAGAGUGUGUUGUGUGUGUCGUGUGCCUCGGCAAGCAGCAGUAGAAAGCGACAAACUAAACUCGCAGCAAAUAGAAAAAGCAAUAAUUCCAUAUAGUUUUAGAAAAAUAAAUAUAUAUAUAGUUAAUUGUAACUGUUACGACUUAACAUAAGAAUUAUAAAAAGCUUGUGAAGCCCACAUUGCAACCAGAUUGUGUUGCAAGUAGUGUGUACGAUUGUAGUCAUUGUGUAUGUGAGUGUGUGUGUGACACGGGUUAAAGCUAAAAAUCAAUAGCACACAAAAAAAAAAAGAAGUGCUAAUAGCCAAAGCCAAGUUGGAGGGCAAGUUGCAAAAACGUGCGCACAGCUUGUGAAACAUUUGAAAUUACCCAAAAGAAAAGCGAGCGAAAUCUCGCGAUACGCAAAGUUAUAUAACGUUUCCUCCGCCUGAGGCGACAGUUUUGCGUGGGCAGCGCGAGCACGAGAAGGAAUAGGCGAAAGGAGGAGGAGGAAGAGGAGGAGCGAGCUGAGGGAGUGACACCCCGUCAAUCGAUAGACUAAACAUGAUGUGCAUCUAAUUGGAUUACACGCGACGGAUUAGCAUAGCCCCAAAAAGGCAAAGUAAUACAACAACAACAACAACACAGUCAGGCAGUCAGUCGUCAGUAGCUCAGUCAGUCAUCGAUUUCGCCACACAACAUGGGGAAGAAGAAGGUGCCUAGUGAGGAGCUAAUUGUACCGCCGCAGGACAAUCGCAUCUGCGGCACCAUCUGCAUCUGUCAGAUGACGUUAGUGCUCAGCUCGGUGGCUCUCGUCUAUCUCACCGUUGCCAUCUACAUGCCUUCCACCAGGGCUUUCAAGAGUGGCAUUGAUCCCACGCCCGUGAUGUGCACGACGACGCGUGCCGUCAACAAGGACAACUGCGAGUGGGGCAGCUGUGGGGAAUGGUGUCUGAGCAAAACUUCCGGUGCCUGCAUUCAGAUCUAUGUGAAUCUGCGCAGCAAUGGCACAAAUCUCACCUUCCAGAAUUGCACGAACUCGGCGAAUAAAACGUGCUACGGCAUCGAUCAGGAUCGUGCGGACAAGGCACGUUGCAUCAACGAUGAGUGCAAGAAUCUCACCGGCACAUUCAACUGCACGGCCGGGCAGUGUUUGAACAUUACGGACGCCUUUGAAUGCGUCUUCCACAACAGCGAUGCGCCGGUGAAGUGUUCGGGACGUCGCGGCAAAAUCAAUUGCAUGGACAUUAGCGGUUUGUUCUCGUGCAGUCGUGGAACUUGUCGCAAGAUCCGCACACCCUACAACUGCGACAGACGUUGCGUCGAUAUUCCGACCCGGAACAAGAAUGUUGUGGUCCUCAGCGGUGAUAAGGUCUAUCUGUCGCAGUGCCAGAAUGCAAUUAAUGCCGAGACCCUGGAGGAAGUGUGGAACGAGUCCAGUGACAAUGUAGCUAUGACGUCGUGCUAUUUCAUCAAGAAUACCUCGGAUCGCGUGGACGCUGUCGAUUGCAUCAAUGGCUCCACGCUCGAACACAAUAUGCUCAGCGAUCUCACCAACUUUACAUAUCUCAGUCAUCUUCAUGUAUCCGUGGCAACUCCAGUCCCUGAGAUUGCUCCUCCGGAUGUGGAUUUAACCAUUUCGAAUGAGUCGAAGUUGAUGAUCAAUUUGGAGGGUUGUGUCAAUACGCUGAUGGAUGAGUGCAAGGAGUUCCUGAAGGAUUUCGGACGCGAUGGCAGCGAUCACAAUGCCCGUGCCCGUUUCCCCUGCUUCUAUUCGCCGUCCAAGAAGGAUGUGGUCGUGGCUCGCUUCGAUCUGGAGGUCACCUAUCGCCAGUUUGUGUUUGCGUCGGUGGUGCCGUCGGUGCUGUUCGUGGUCUCCUGCUCCGUGCUGUUGCUCUGCCAGCGCACCGUCUAUGUGGGCGAUGAUGCCAAGAUGCGUUUCAAGGGUUGCGUCGACACGGAGACCAUACUGAAUAAGAACAACGUCGGCGCGCCCACCAACGGCGACAUGGGCGGCGGCGGUGGCGAUGAAGUCAUGGCCCUAUGAGAUCCGUCACGUAAGAAUACCCAAAAAGCAUGUCUACUUAAUGUGUGGUCCAACUUUCAGCGGGCAUUCCUCUGCUCCAGGAAGACAGUCCGGUGCAUCAAACGGGCGUCUUCGCUUUGCAGUAAUGGAGUUGGGCACAGCAACCAC